rnacentral:rRNA from 1 species
GAUGAACGCUGGCGGCGUGCCUAACACAUGCAAGUCGAGCGAUUCUCUUCGGAGAAGAGCGGCGGACGGGUGAGUAACGCGUGGGUAACCUGCCCUGUACACACGGAUAACAUACCGAAAGGUAUGCUAAUACGGGAUAACAUGAGAGAGUCGCAUGGCUUUCUUAUCAAAGCUCCGGCGGUACAGGAUGGACCCGCGUCUGAUUAGCUAGUUGGUGAGGUAAUGGCUCACCAAGGCGACGAUCAGUAGCCGACCUGAGAGGGUGAUCGGCCACAUUGGAACUGAGACACGGUCCAAACUCCUACGGGAGGCAGCAGUGGGGAAUAUUGCACAAUGGGCGAAAGCCUGAUGCAGCAACGCCGCGUGAGCGAUGAAGGCCUUCGGGUCGUAAAGCUCUGUCCUCAAGGAAGAUAAUGACGGUACUUGAGGAAGAAGCCCCGGCUAACUACGUGCCAGCCGCCGCGGUAA